rnacentral:rRNA from 1 species
UACGUAGGGUGCAAGCGUUAAUCGGAAUUACUGGGCGUAAAGCGUGCGCAGGCGGUUUUGUAAGUCUGUCGUGAAAUCCCCGGGCUCAACCUGGGAAUUGCGAUGGAGACUGCAAGGCUAGAAUCUGGCAGAGGGGGGUAGAAUUCCACGUGUAGCAGUGAAAUGCGUAGAGAUGUGGAGGAACACCGAUGGCGAAGGCAAUCCCCUGGGCCUGCACUGACGCUCAUGCACGAAAGCGUGGGGAGCAAACAGG